rnacentral:rRNA from 1 species
AGAGCGAACGCUGGCGGCAGGCUUAACACAUGCAAGUCGAGCGGGCGUAGCAAUACGUCAGCGGCAGACGGGUGAGUAACGCGUGGGAACGUACCUUUUGGUUCGGAACAACCCAGGGAAACUUGGGCUAAUACCGGAUAAGCCCUUACGGGGAAAGAUUUAUCGCCGAAAGAUCGGCCCGCGUCUGAUUAGCUAGUUGGUGAGGUAAUGGCUCACCAAGGCGACGAUCAGUAGCUGGUCUGAGAGGAUGAUCAGCCACAUUGGGACUGAGACACGGCCCAAACUCCUACGGGAGGCAGCAGUGGGGAAUAUUGGACAAUGGGCGCAAGCCUGAUCCAGCCAUGCCGCGUGAGUGAUGAAGGCCCUAGGGUUGUAAAGCUCUUUGUGCGGGAAGAUAAUGACGGUACCGCAAGAAUAAGCCCCGGACUAACUUCGUGCCAGCAGCCGC